rnacentral:lncRNA from 12 species
GUCUGUUUGAAGCCAGGUAGAGCCAUCACAGCAGUUUAGUUUGAUGCCAGUAGAGCAUCACAACGAAGGGGUUGGGGGGGCACACACCAGACCAUGAAGGGCCCCGCUUGUCUUUUAGAACAUGUAGCCCGGGUCACAGCAAUAGGGAGCCAAAGAGGAGUUAAGAGUAAGCGACAUGAUUGGAUUCGCACUUUAGGAAGAUUACUAUGGCAACUGUGGGGAGAAAGGAUGGGGGGGAGCUGGUCUGAACAAAGUGGCUCAGAUCCCGCCCGCUGGUGGCUGAAACCAGGGUAGCAGGAAAGGGAGAUGGAAUCAGAGAGAAGUGAACAGUUGCCAAGGCCAAGUGAUGGACUGAGUGCAGGGGAUAUCUGGGUUGGGUAAGCAAAGAGUGCUGAGAGCAUUCCCAGGUUUCUGGUUUGGGCAACAGGAAAAAGGUGAUCUUUUUCCCAGCCAGGGGACUGUGAGGGAGAUGCCGUCCUGGGAAGUGAGGCUGAUGAGUCAGCAGCUCUAGAGACAGGCCUGGGCUGAAGACAGAGCACCCAGGGAGCCAGCCUGGAGCAGGGCCGGGAGCCGGCUCGGCUGCCUGGAGCACAGGUGCAAGAAACCUUUGCUCAGGACCUUGACCUGGCUCACGUGAUUGAGCUGAUUGCCCCUGAGCCACCAGGCUCCAUACAGACGGGAGCCAUCUGGGGAGCCAGCUGCAGAAUAUGAAUUGUCCCUCUUACAGGUGGGAGGCUGGGACACUCAGAGAUGCAGCCCCAGCCCCACCCGCCAAUAUCCGGGCCACCUACCCAUAUCAGGCAAUGCAGAGGAUGAUCUGCUGAAAGCAACACUUAGCGUGCGCUAUGGACUACACACUGUUCCAGAUGCUUUACAUCCCAGCCACACAAUUAAAUUUUUCGGGCCAAGAUUAGCGGUACAGGAGCUGAGGCCCAGACCUCCACAGAGGAGACCUUGCAGGCAGCCGGGGUUAAUCUCAGAAGGUUUCCUGCGGAAAAAAAAAAAAAAAAAAAAAAAGAAGGUUUCCUGCGGGAGGCAGCCCUCAGGUAAGUAGGUGGCUCAUUCCACUUCCAGGGCAAGUCCUCAGACCUCACACAUGGUGCACACUGGCAGAGCACAAUCAUGACAGCAGCAACAGCGCUCACAAGCCCAGUGUACGCUUCCACACUGACCAGGCUUCCCGCUUCUCCAAGUGCACUCACAUAAAUUCUCUUCUUUGAAGCUAACAGAUGAGACCUUGAUACCCACUAACACUGAAUGUUAGCCUCCGUCCUUCAUGCCUCCCCUCCUUCCUUCCACUCUCUCUUUAAACCCUAUGAAGCAAGGGGAGCCAGGGACAAAUGCUAUCCUUCCUAUCUUACAAGUAGACCGAGGCACAGAAAGGACAAGGGAGUGACUUUGGGUCACACAGCUCUGCAUGCUAAGACUAAAGCUCCAGAGUGAGGGAUAAGCAUGAGUAGAGCUGCACCAGGCAAGGCCAUAGCGUGGAGAUCUCUUGGGCCACUGCCUUGACUCCAACUUCUAAAACAGCUUCUAAAACAGACCUCCUGUCAGGUUGGAAGCUCUGCUGGCCAGAAUCCAUGCUCCCAAGACCAAGAAGCAAGCCCAGAGGGCUGGCACCCAGCUACCGGUCGAAGUGGGCAGCCGAAUGGAACAGUGAUUUGUGGAGUCAGACCUCUUGAGUUCCAUCACGGCCUCACCACUUACCAGCUAAAUUACCCUGGAAGCAGCUUGUCCUCUCUGAGUAUCUUCAUCUGUAAAACAGAGAUCAUGGCAUCUCUCCCUCCAGGUGGUGCCAAAGGGUGCAGUCAAAUGACCUAUGGACAGCUGUCAGCCGGGUGCUUUGGCCCACAUUCCAUGCUUCCCUGACCUGCUGCCUGUGGGUUAGAGGGGGCUGCGCCACCACGGUGGGCGGGCAACCAAGCAUCAGUAGAGGUGACAGUCCUGCAAGGAGGGAGAGCCUCUCCUCUGGGAGUGACACCUGAGAAGGGAGCUCAUGUAGUCUUCAGUGCUCAUAAAUUGCAAUGGGAAGUACUAAGAGAACAUCCCUCUUG